rnacentral:lncRNA from 1 species
GUUUUGGUGAUGGUGAUGUGUUUGUACAUCUUACUUUACUGAACAGUCUUGCUGCUAACAAUUAUCUCUAUCUAUAAUGAACUAGUCCCAGUAGUUUCAGUGGAAAAUGUUAAUAAAAAUUUACAAAUUUUAUGAAAAUUGUUAAAAAUUGACUAUAAAGGACAAUAACUCCUUAGGGGGUCAAUUGACCAUUUCGGUCAUAUUGACUUAUUUGUAAAUCUUACUUUGCUAAACAUAAUUGCUGUUUACAGUUUAUC